UCUUAUGGAUGAGCAAAGAAAGUGGUUUCCUGGCAUGGAAUCUACUCCUGGUGAAGAUACUGUGAA
rnacentral:pre_miRNA from 1 species